rnacentral:tRNA from 1 species
GGCCCGUUAGCUCAGUUGGUUAGAGCGUGGUGCUAAUAACGCCAAGGUCGUGGGUUCGAUCCCCUCACAGGCCA